rnacentral:rRNA from 1 species
AGAGUUUGAUCCUGGCUCAGGAUGAACGCUGGCGGCGUGCUUAACACAUGCAGUCGAACGAAGCGCUGUGUCUGAUUUCCUUCGGGAAUGACGACACUGUGACUUAGUGGCGGACGGGGAGUAACGCGUGGGUAACCUGCCUCAUGCAGGGGGAUAACAGUGAGAAAUUGCUGCUAAUACCGCAUAAGCGCACAGUACCGCAUGGUACGGUGUGAAACGCCGAGACGGCAUGAGAUGGACCCGCGUCUGAUUAGCUUGUUGGCGGGGUAACGGCCCACCAAGGCGACGAUCAGUAGCCGACUUGAGAGAGUGAUCGGCCACAUUGGGACUGAGACACGGCCCAGACUCCUACGGGAGGCAGCAGUGAGGGAUAUUGCACAAUGGGCAAAAGCCUGUCCCGUGAACGCCGCGUGAAGGAGGAAGUAUUUCGGUAUGUAAACUUCUAUCAGCAAGGAAGAAAAUGACGGUACUUGACUAAGAAGCCCCGGCUAAAUACGUGCCAGCAGCCGCGGUAAUACGUAUGGGGCAAGCGUUAUCCGGAUUUACUGGGUGUAAAGGGAGUGCAGGCGGCGAGGCAAGUCAGAAGUGAAAGGCCGGGGCUCAACCCCGGGACUGCUUUUGAAACUGUUUUGCUUGAGUGCAGGAGAGGCAGGCGGAAUUCCUAGUGUAGCGGUGAAAUGCGUAGAUAUUAGGAGGAACACCGGUGGCGAAGGCGGCCUGCUGGACUGUAACUGACGCUGAGGCUCGAAAGCGUGGGGAGCAAACAGGUACUUAGAAUACCCUUGUAGUCCACGCCGUAA